rnacentral:rRNA from 1 species
GACAGAGGGUGCAAACGUUGCUCGGAAUUACUGGGCGUAAAGGGCGUGUAGGCGGACUGGAAAGUCAGGUGUGAAAUCCCCAGGCUCAACCUGGGAACUGCACUUGAAACUUCUAGCCUUGAGUGUCGGAGAGGAAAGCGGAAUUCCUGGUGUAGAGGUGAAAUUCGUAGAUAUCAGGAGGAACACCGGUGGCGAAGGCGGCUUUCUGGACGACAACUGACGCUGAGACGCGAAAGCGUGGGUAGCAAACAGG